CUACGGGGUGCAGCAGUGGGGAAUAUUGCACAAUGGGCGCAAGCCUGAUGCAGCCAUGCCGCGUGUAUGAAGAAGGCCUUCGGGUUGUAAAGUACUUUCAGCGGGGAGGAAGGGAGUAAAGUUAAUACCUUUGCUCAUUGACGUUACCCGCAGAAGAAGCACCGGCUAACUCCGUGCCAGCAGCCGCGGUAAUACGGAGGGUGCAAGCGUUAAUCGGAAUUACUGGGCGUAAAGCGCACGCAGGCGGUUUGUUAAGUCAGAUGUGAAAUCCCCGGGCUCAACCGGGGAACUGCAUCUGAUACUGGCAAGCUUGAGUCUCGUAGAGGGGGGUAGAAUUCCAGGUGUAGCGGUGACAUGCGUAGAGAUCUGGAGGAAUACCGGUGGCGAAGGCGGCCCCCUGGACGAAGACUGACGCUCAGGUGCGAAAGCGUGGGGAGCAAACAGGAUUAGAUACCCGCGUAGUC
rnacentral:rRNA from 1 species